UUUCCGUAGGUGAACCUGCGGAAGGAUCAUUAACAAUAUGUGUUCUAUGGCACUUUACCUAACACACAUUCACCUUGUGUGCAAUGUUAGGGUUGACUAUUCUCUCGAGAGGAUCAACCCUAAAGAUCAAUUAUAUCUCAACUUUCUGUCUGCAUAAUAUUAUGAAUAAUACAAAUCUAAAAAUAAACUUCAAUAACGGAUAUCUUGGCUAUUACAUCGAAGAAGAACGUAGAAGAACGGAACAGCACAUGCUUGCAUCCAUGUCACCAUACGAGAUCC
rnacentral:misc_RNA from 1 species